AACACUUCAAAAAUAGGCAAAUAGCUCCUAAAUUUCUAGCACAAAUAAUAUUACCCCCUCACGGUAACCAAAAACCUAAUGCCACCCCACACGAUGACAAGCUAAUGUUGAAAUUUAAAUUGGGAUAAGCCUAUAUAUUAGAGCAGACCAAUCUGAGUCCGUAAAUUUUGAGAGAAGCGAAUUUAUCACUUUAGGACCAUCACUAUUCGUCUUAAAGUCUCUAGUAACUGCAGCAACCAACAAAUCACGAUCGAAUCUUGGUUGUCCAAAGAGCAACUUUGCCCAGAUUCUACUGCACAACCUGAAACAAAAAACUUUCAACACAGAAAUGUCAGAAAAUAUCACUAGGAACAAACUCCCUGAAGAGAUCGUUAUCCGAAAACUAGCUACGUACCCUCACAUACGGCUACUUUUCCUAUGCGUGGUCCUCAUGCGCCGGUCAUCCUAGAUUGCCACCACCUGUACGUCACACUAGUGGUCUGCAUUUUUCAAAACUCCUUCUGGAUUGGUCAGAAAACACGAAACAUCUCACGAUUUUUGACAGUUUUCUAGACAAUUUUUCGAUUCGAUUUCUGCUUUGUUUCAGUUGACUUUCUAGACUUUUUUUUGGUAUGUUUCACAAGCCAAAAUCACAAACUUGAAGCUCUUGUACCAGAUGUUACGGAAGCUCUCUCCAAGGAUCUUCAAAUCAGUGGUUUUUCGAACUCAGUCCAAUGUAUCUUUCUCUACCAACAACCAAACCAACCGGCUUCGAUCCACAACUAAUAUAAUUCACCUCGAUUUCUAUUCAAUCUUACCCACAAAGGAUAAGAAACGGUGAUGAUUUGUAGCCACAAAGGUAAGGAGAAAGCAUAAAAAGGUAAGCUAUGAAGGAACCACCAAUUACAUAAAAUAAACGAGCGUUUUGAAUACUUCUAGGGGCUUGUUUCAUACACUUCAAGGGGCAGUCGGGACUCUCCUUUUCUCACACAAAAACCAUACAAAUCAUACUAGAAAUUGGCUAGGGUUUAUUCCUUAUAAAUAUC
rnacentral:lncRNA from 1 species